UCUCCGUAGGUGAACCUGCGGAGGGAUCAUUACAGAGUUGAUGCCCUACCGGGUCGAUCUCCCACCCUCUCCUAUUAUGAAUUUGCUGCUUUGGCCGGCCGUUAGGCUCCGGCACGACUACCGGCCCCGGAUCGUACGCGCUCUCCAGUAUAACCAAAACCCUGAAUAGUAGUGUCUUCUGAGAACUGUAUAAUUGUUAAAACUUUCAACAAAGGAUGCCUUGGUUCUGGCAUCCAUAAAGAAGACAGCAGAUCACAGGAGCACACGUCUGAACCCCAG
rnacentral:misc_RNA from 1 species